AGAUACAUUUUGGAAAAUUCGAACACUCAGGGGUGGCUGCCCCGUCAGCAGGGUCAGAACACGGGGCCUGCCUGGCUUGUACGUACCCUCUAUCCCUGAGGGUAUAUGUAAAAGACAAUGUGGUUUUCAGGGGAUGUAACCAGUGCAUCCAGGGCCUGGAGAUCCCAGGUUUCUCUUCUGGAUGCUGUCCCCUGAGAACAGAGAUAAGGGGGUUGUGCUAAAGGGGAACAGCUUGAGAAGCCAGCAAUGUGGACUGACUUGAUACAGGGCAGAGGAGAGCACCAACUUGAUAAUCAGGAGGCCAGGCCUGGCAGUUACAGCCGCCAAUGGAUUGGGAAGACCCUUGGUGUGCUGAGCUGUUUCCAGCAGCCUGAGUUCGGAUUUGUCUUGAGUCCCAUCUCCAGUCUAGAGCACCCCAGGAUUUACAAAACAUGAAAUUGGGUGGGGGGAAGGGCCACCAAGCUGUCAGCAAAUGAAGCCCUAUUGCCUGGCUCUUUUGUGCUGUGAUGACUCACCUCCAGAUCUCCAUGGAAACCAACAUAAACUCUUUACACAGGUGUUGUUUUCAUCCAUGCAAGGCAGUAGACAGCUAGCAAACCUCCAGGUCAGCUGCCCCUUGCUCAGUGACCCAGGAAUCAGGGAAGCCACCUUUUGGUGGCUCCACUGUUUAAAAGGGGGUGGGUCUCAGUGGUUGCAGAGGAAUAGAGGAAACAGGAAAGUUGGAGCGCAUGGGCCACCCAGGGGGGUUCUAGUGCCUGAUCACUGGAUGUCCCUCAAGAAAAGAAAACAGAGCCACGGCACACACGAACCUUGGGUAUAGCUGGAGAAAGGACCUUGAUCCUCAGCUGAAGAAAUUGCACUGAACCAGUGAGAUGGGGGCUGUGUCCCCAGACAUUGCCCCCACUCUUGACAAAUAGAGCACCCAAAGAAUGGGUGCCUUCCAUGUGGAUAUUAAGUCCCCUGAAAAGCUUCUUGGAGGACAUCAGAUUUAAAUGAAUAGAAGAGGGCCCCUGAAUGGCUGAGUGAAGAGGAGGGGGCCGCAGGGCAGUUCAAGCCACUUCCAAGAUGGAGAAGGCAUGGGAACCCACGAUGGCAGUGGAGUAAAAGACAACCCCUCCCUUCAAGACAGGUUCCUCCAGUUUGCAAAGCGAGGCCAUAGAACUGGUGAGGACUCCAUGAUGCUUGGUGGCAGGGGCACCAAAAUCUGAGCUCUCUUCCUGGUAUUAGUUGUCACUGGGGAAACCGUUAGGAAGCCGGGACAUUUCCAGGACUCUUUGGCCCUGGGACAGGUUCUUACCAAUUGAACUGAAAUAGCAUGUGUCACUUCUAGGCUGGGCGAGUGUGUGUGUGUGUGUGUGUGUGUGUGUGUGUGUGUGUGUGUGUGUGUGCCAUCCAGAGGUGGAUAUCCGGUGUCUUCCUCUGUCUCCUCCACCUUACUUUUGAGACAGUCUCUUCACUGAGCCUGGAGCUCACCCACCCCUUUCAUUAGACCAGUCAGUGAGCUCUGGGUGUCUGUCUGUCUCCCUGCCACUACUAUCCAAGUGCCGAGGUUACAGGCAGGAACACCUUGG
rnacentral:lncRNA from 1 species